UACGUAGGGUGCGAGCGUUGUCCGGAAUUACUGGGCGUAAAGAGCUCGUAGGUGGUUUGUCGCGUUUGUCCGUGAAAACUCACAGCUUAACUGUGGGCGUGCGGGCGAUACGGGCAGACUGGAGUACUGCAGGGGAGACUGGAAUUCCUGGUGUAGCGGUGGAAUGCGCAGAGUAUCAGGAGGAACACCGGUGGCGAAGGCGGUUCUCUGGGCAUUACCUGACGGCUGAGGAGCGAAAGUGUCGGGGAGCGAACAGG
rnacentral:rRNA from 1 species